rnacentral:lncRNA from 1 species
UCUUCUCCAUGAAGCCUGCCCUGAUUCUCCCCAGGGGAAGGCUGGCCCCCUUUUCCAAACUCCCACUACAUUUUGUCCAAACGGUGUUGGAAGCCACUGGGACUCCCCAAGAACAAUAUCCAAGUUGAAGGCACCUUUGCCACCCCCCGCCAGUGGACAUGGAAGGAGUGCUGCACACACCCGCCCUGAAUGCAGAAGCAGCACUGGGAAUUUGGAACAGCCUUCAUUAUUCUAGCCUCCGCCUCACCUCCCUGUUUUGUAUCAAUCCACUGAACUUGGUUCAAUGCCAGAACGUCCAAAGCAUCUUACACAGACUGUUGGUGGGAAGAGUUCACCCCAAGGAUUUCACCAAGCACUAGUGUUCCUUGUUUUGCUUGUUUUUGAUGCCUAAAGAGCCAACAAGUGACUAACAGACUGUUGUCCAUGGAUUGUCUAGAGUCAGCCUUCUAAUAGCACCCGAAGGGCUCCUCAUGCUGGUGCAACCCCGCUGCCACUGCUCCUGAGCCUAUGUUCCCUUCUCUCCACCAUGCACCUUCUGACAUCAUGACUCACUGGAGAACCAGGCCAGGAUCCCAACCAGCCCGUGUCUCAGAGGGCCUGGGCGGGAGCCCUGUGCUGCCAGGAGGAGCAGAGAUAACAUUGAUUGUCCAGAAGCUCUACGAUGGAGACAGGUUGUCACUGGAAGUCCAACAAGAGACAGAGGCAAGUGAGCUUUAUGGAGCACCUACUGUGUGCCAGGCCCCAUGCAACGGGCUUCUGUGGAGGCCUGCCCCUGCCAUCUUCACAACCCUCAGGUGAGCCAGCUUUAGCUUUAUAUUUUAUAGAUGAAAAAAACUGAGAGUUGAUGAGACUAAGAUACUAUUUGUGAGACCAAAAGAAAGAGGAAAAUCUCAUUUAAUCUCCAGGGUUUGUUAAAUUAGGCAAAGACAAGAAGGAACUUUUAUGUGAGGACAGACUGAAGUCC